UUAUUAUCAUUACACAUUUCUAGGUUAUUUUCUCACAGAUCUUUGGUUCAGAUGAGUCUCAGCCUGCAAGUGUCUAAGAAUUAGUUACAUAUUAUAAAGAGUAGGGCGAGGCCAGUAACGUUGCCUCUGUCAUAUCAUGCAAUCUAAACAAUAAACAUGGACUGGAUUCUCCCGGUGAUUCUUUCAGUUCCAUGGUCCAAAGGUACAGGGAAGUGGAAAAUAAAACGAAUGAAUGGAUUCUUUGAAGGAAGACAAGGGAAAGAAAACUGAUGGUUCAGCAGAGUAAUUCUACUCUUUAAACAUGUCGGGGAAUGAGAAGAGUGUUCUGUCCAAAUUCCAUGACAAUGACUUGUCAGAAAUGUCUGCUGGCCAAAAGGACAAGGGCAAAAGAUUGAAGACACCCUGGUCCACGUCCAGUGGGUGUUCAAACGUGAUGUCUGAUCAGUCCAUGGAAAACCCUCUUGGUUUCCAAAGCCAACAUGUGAAGAAAUCAGGGUCAACGUCCUCUGUCUGUGAGACAGAGAUGUCAUCAGUGGACGUCCUUAACCUCAGAAAACAGUGAGAGACGUUU